rnacentral:misc_RNA from 1 species
GAUGAAGAACGUAGCGAAAUGCGAUACUUGGUGUGAAUUGCAGAAUCCCGCGAAUCAUCGAGUUUUUGAACGCAAGUUGCGCCCGAAGCCAUUCGGCCGAGGGCACGUCUGCCUGGGUGUCACGCAUCGUUGCCCCCCCAAACUCCGGUUCAGGCGGGGCGGAAGUUGGCCUCCCGUGCGUGCCUGCGCGCGCGGUUAGCCCAAAAGCGAGUCCUCGGCGAUGAGCGCCACGACAAUCGGUGGUUUUUUUACCCUCGUUCCUCGUCGUGCGUGCCCCGUCGCCCGAACGCGCUCUUGCAACCCUUACGCGUCGCCUCGGUGGCGCUCCCAACGCGACCCCAGGUCAGGCGGGACUACCCGCUGAGUUUAAGCAUAUCAAUAAGCGGAGGA